rnacentral:rRNA from 1 species
UACGGAGGGUGCAAGCGUUGUUCGGAAUUAUUGGGCGUAAAGCGCGUGUAGGCGGCUUGGCAAGUCGGGUGUGAAAUCCCGGGGCCCAACCCCGGAACUGCAUUCGAAACUGCCUCGCUAGAGUCCCGGAGAGGAAGGCGGAAUUCCCGGUGUAGAGGUGAAAUUCGUAGAUAUCGGGAGGAACACCAGCGGCGAAGGCGGCCUUCUGGACGGUGACUGACGCUGAGACGCGAAAGCGUGGGGAGCAAACAGG